GACGAACGCUGGCGGCGUGCCUAAUACAUGCAAGUCGAACGAGAGCGACCGGUGCUUGCACUGGUCAAUCUAGUGGCGAACGGGUGAGUAACACGUGGGUAACCUGCCCAUCAGAGGGGGAUAACAUCCGGAAACGGAUGCUAAAACCGCAUAGGUCUUCGAACCGCAUGGUUUGAAGAGGAAAAGAGGCGCAAGCUUCUGCUGAUGGAUGGACCCGCGGUGCAUUAGCUAGUUGGUGAGGUAACGGCUCACCAAGGCCGUGAUGCAUAGCCGACCUGAGAGGGUGAUCGGCCACAUUGGGACUGAGACACGGCCCAAACUCCUACGGGAGGCAGCAGUAGGGAAUCUUCCGCAAUGGACGCAAGUCUGACGGAGCAACGCCGCGUGAGUGAAGAAGGUUUUCGGAUCGUAAAACUCUGUUGUUAGAGAAGAACAAGUGCUAGAGUAACUGUUAGCGCCCUGACGGUAUCUAACCAGAAAGCCACGGCUAACUACGUG
rnacentral:rRNA from 1 species